UACGUAGGUGGCAAGCGUUGUCCGGAUUUACUGGGCGUAAAGAGCGCGCAGGCGGUCGUUCAAGUCGCGUGUGAAAGCCCCCGGCUCAACUGGGGAGGGUCACGCGAUACUGAUCGACUGGAAGGCAGGAGAGGGUAGUGGAAUUCCCGGUGUAGUGGUGAAAUGCGUAGAUAUCGGGAGGAACACCAGUGGCGAAGGCGACUACCUGGCCUGUUCUUGACGCUGAGGCGCGAAAGCAUGGGGAGCGAACAGG
rnacentral:rRNA from 1 species